rnacentral:rRNA from 2 species
AUAGUGAGAUUCGCCACCAUGUGAGCCGAGUACCCAGCUACUUCUUGCGUCGGUCGA